CGAGGGAAAACUCCCAGCGAGGAAGUAGAUAUGGCAGUACUAGAUGGUUUCACGAUAAAAACUCUUGUGCUCCAAUCAAUUCCUCCAGUUGAUAAUCAUCCAAUCAACGCGAUAUCUUCC
rnacentral:ribozyme from 1 species